GGUAUGUAGCUCAGUGGUGGAGUGCCUGCCUGGUAAGCAUGAGGCCUGAAUUUGAUUCCCAGUACCA
rnacentral:tRNA from 1 species